rnacentral:tRNA from 1 species
GGGAAGGUGGCUCAGUGGUAGAGUGCUUGCCUUGCAUGCAUGAGGCCCUGGGUUCAGUUCCUCACCACCACA